rnacentral:piRNA from 1 species
UCCUCCUUGAUCAUGUGACAAUACAGUUA